UUCAUAUUCAAGCUGCUUCCCAUGAGCACCAGCAGUGCAAUUCAAGACAAAUUGAGAAUCUAAAUCAUCAAAUCUGUCGAAGCAGGUUUUCCACUGUGGGUAUGUUCCGUCCACAACCAUUUCCUCAACGCAGUUUAUGAAUUUGAAAUGCUCCGUCUGCAGGUUAUAUAUAUGCUUAAUUAUAAGAUCAGAUCGUAUAUAUAACUUUAUGAUUGAAAAUUGAUUAAUUACCACAGCAGGCCAGGCGUCAAUGGCACAUGCUUCGACGGUGUUGAGAAGACAUUCGUAAGAACCAUGCUGGCAAAUAAUCUCUCCAUCAGACAAGACUUUAGCGUUUCC
rnacentral:lncRNA from 1 species